GUGGAGGAGUUUUCAUCACAGACCCAGAUUAACUCCGGCGAAGUUGUUCCGCGCCUGCCAGUGCCGGAGGAACAAUCUCCGGGUGGGAGAAGGGCCGAGCGCGCCGCCCUCCCCUCCCGGCGCCGCUCGGCCGAACAAAGGCGGCAGCGCCGGCUCCCCUUUGUGCGGCACGGGCCGGGCAAGGGCCGAGCCCAGCGCCCGCCCCGGGCUCCCGGCACGGCCCGGCUCGGCUCGGUCGCGCGUCGGGAGGAAGCGCCGGCUGCGCGGCGGGCGGGCGGCUGCCGGCGGCCCCGGCCCUGCCCGCCCCCGUCUCCUCCCCUCCGCCGCCGAUCCUCCGCCCCUCCGCCUUCUCCUCGCGGCGGCGGCGGCGGUGCCUUUUCUCGGCCCCGGCUCUCCGCGGCUUCGCCCGGCUCCUGUCCGGGGCUCCCGCGCCGCGCUGCCCAGGACGGCAUUGCUGCAGGGAGACUCUGGGAGUUCCGGGGUGAAGAGAUCUGCCUUGAUCUGGAGACCUCUGCUGAAGGUGAAGACCUCCUAACGGGCCAGACAGCCUUAGCAGGAGUUCAGAAGUCUUACACCAAGAAUUCUCUGGAGCGUUACAUUCUCCUGUUUGGAGUGUGGACAAGAGUUUGGCAUUCUGCUUUUACAGAUCGCUGCCGCUCGCUCCUGGAGCGCAGGGGGGACGGCCAGACUCCCGCAUCUUUCAGCAAGAAGAAAGGAGCCAGCGGAGCGGACUAAUACGGACUUGUGUCGGGUGCCCUUGCCCUACAAAGGCUGCCUUUAAAAGAGGAACGCAGUGCUAUUUAAUGAGCUGUGAGAUGAGGCACUGCUGCUAACGCUCAAAUCCCAGGAUUCAUCGGCUAUUCAUUGUGCUUAAUGUACAUGUUUCUGCACCGUGCAUUUAGGAGAUCCCAGAGAAGAAUCCAAAACGGCUG
rnacentral:lncRNA from 14 species